UCCACCCACAACUGAGAAGGUUCAUCCCUGAACUCACUGCCUGGCAUCACGCUGAACAGGCAGGGAGGACUGGAACUCAGCCCUCCAGAAACCAGACAGCAGACCAGAAUUCGAGUUCUCUGCUCACUGGAGAUGAUCAGGCUCUGACCCUCAGUUCAGGCUGAGGCCCUUCAACUAGACUCCUGCAUUCGGGACCUGGACAGAAGAAAAAGUACACAAAAGGAGGGACUGAAAAGAAGAAAGGGGGAAAAGGUACAGGCACUGACAAAGCAACAGACU